GAGCCUUUGUGGGCUUUUUUGGGGGGUCUUUUGUCUUUUUAGGGCUGUGCUAGUGGCAAAUGGAGGUUCCCAGGCUAGCAGUUGAAUUGGAGCUGCAGCUUCUGGCCUGCACCACAUCCACAGCAACGCAGGUUCUGAGCUGAAUCUGUGACCUACACCACAGCUCACGGCAACACCGGAUCCUUAACCCACUGAGCAAAGCCAGGGAUCGAACCCAAGUCCUUAUGGAUCUAGUCUGCUUUGUUAACCACUGAGCCACAACGGGAACUCCGAGCCUUUGUGGUUUUAUUUCCUCUAUUUUAGAGACGAGGAAGUUGAACAACUUGAGAGAUUGAACAAAGUGCACAAGGCAGUGGAAGUGGUUAGGCUGAGAGUAGGACCUGGAGCCACUGACUUUGAAUUUUUUGCUUUUUGUAUUGGACCACAUUGCCUCUCAAAGAAAAGAAGAGGUUAUAGACCUAUUGGCCAUAAUGGGUUGCCUUUCUUAUCUGAUGAAGACCCAUAUCAGGACAAAUGGACUAAUCGUCUGGGGGUCAUUUUCCUGCUAAGUCUUGUGCAUCCUAGCACAAGUUGGAAGGGAGAGGGAAAUAUUAUUUUUGAAUCUUUACCAUAUACUAGGUACUGUGCCAGAUCUUUUAAACAUAUUGUCACAUGGGUAGCAGAUAUUGUUUUCUCAUUUUAACAGAUGAAGAAACUGAGGCUCAGAGGAAUUCUGAAUCUUGCCCAAAGUCUCAAGGCUAGUAAGCCGAUGGGAUACAAAUUUAGGUCUGUGUUAUUCCAAAGCUUGGUCUUUGCAUGACUCGACAGUGCUGUAACAAGCAAACCCAGUGGUAAGAAGGUGAGAGACCUGGGAUCCUGGAGAGAAGGUACACAUAUGGCAUUGCCUGUGUCUGAGGACUUGAGUUUGGGCAGGUUGUCAGCAGAAUCUCCCAGCCAUGUAUGUGAGGAGAAAGAAGAAAAAAAAAGCUUUGGAAUGGGGUGUACAAAAGGGGCUGCCAGUUUCUUUGGAGUCCAACUGCAUGAGUGAAAAAGGGAUUGCCUCUUUUAAGUUGGUGGCAGAAAAAAGUGCCCAGCUGAUUCCUGCUCUGAACACAUGUGAGCCUUUAAGAUAAGUUCCCUGGAUGCUGAGAUCAGAUACAAGUAAAUAUAUUUAUGCAGCCAAGUUGGCUCCAGAUAUAAGUGGCAGGGACUUGCUUAAUGAGGAUGCUAAGGGGCAGGUUUUCUGGAAUUCCUGAAGAAGGGAAACUUGGAGAGCAGUGAAACGAAAAGUGCCCACAAUGGGAAGAGAGAUUUUAGACUCCUCCCUUUAACCCAGAGUCUUCAGUAACUGAGAGGAGUUGUGUUCUGACAACAGCUUAAAUUCAUGGAGGUAAAAGGGGUGAAGGGAAGGCAGAAAGAAAUGCUGUUCAUGGCUUAGAAAGCCGUUCUCCUCCAGUGGAUUGUACCGGUUCCUGGGGGAGAAGUCUGCCUUGGAAAUAUCAGCUCAUGCAAAGCUUGGUUUGCAGCUGCAAGUCCAGAGGGAACUGAAGAAACCAGCCACUUAUGUUGCAGACAACAGAAUUGCAUCCUUCAGGAUGGUGAGCAGAGGAAAGAAGGACCAUCUUGUACUGAGAGGUCUAAUCCAGUCUGUCUUAGGCCUUUAGAUUUUAAGAUGGCUAUAUCCUUUGACAGAUACAGCCUUAAAGGAAGAGACUCUUCAGAGUGAAGCCAAAUGUCUAAUUUGGGGCAGGGCAAGUGUAUCAGGUAUUUAUUGCUGUGUAACAAAAAACCUGCACAAUAGCAAUUUGUUAUUUCUUAUGAUUCUUUGGGUUGAUCCAGCAGUCCUGCCCCAAGUCCUGCUGCUGGGGUCACAUGUAUAGCUUCAUUUAUCUGGAAGAAUGGCUGAGCCAGUAGAUUGAGAGGGUCUUUCUCAUAUAUCUUGGGCCUCAGUUCUCCUCAGUGUGGCUUCUUAUCCUCCAGGGCCUCCCCACAUGACCCUUCUCUCCAGCAGGAUAGUCUGGGCUUGCUUGUAGCAUGGCAGUUGGGAAUAAAAGUGGAAAUUGUCAGGUGUCUUAAGGGCCAGGCUUGUAAUGUGCAGAGCAUCACUUCUGCCACUUCCUGUGGAUCAAAGCAAGUCUCAAGGCCAGCCCAGAUUCACGCGGCAGGAAAUAGACUGUGCCUCUUGAAGGAAGGAUGGCAUGUGCACAUUUGGAUGGGAUGAAUGAUUAGCAGCCGUAUUCGCAGGCAAAUUACCAUAGGAACUGUGAUAUUAUGAGAUAAGAAAUCACAAUAAGAAAUAUAUAUUUGGUCUUUAUCCCUAGUUUCUGAACCUAGAGUUUCUAAAACCCUUGGCAUUUCCUGAACAACAGGAGCGAGGGGAGGAUUUUUUGUUAUUAAUGACAAGCCUCUUUCAACAGAGCUGUGUUUAUGCUAUAGUAAUAUGACUCUUGAUGGGCCCCUAGAUAAUUUUAGGGUGGGUGCUGGUUGCCAGAGGAACCAGCCACAUGGUUAGAGAGUUGAAAAUUUUAGCCCUACUUCUCAACCUCCAGAAAAAAAGGGGAUGAAGAUUGAGUUAGCCACCAAUGGUCAAUGAUUUAACCAAUCAUGCUCAUGUAAUGGGACCUUUAUGAAAACUCUGACAGUUUGGAGUGCUCCUGGGGUGGUGAACACAUUGAAGGUGGUACACCACUCCCCUAAUACUUUGUACCAUGCAUCUCUUCCAUUUGGCGGUUCCUGACUUGUAUCUUUAUAAGAAACCAACGAUAGUAAGUAGAGUGUUUUCUGUAGUCCAGUGAACCUUCCUAGCAAAUUAUUGAGACCCCAAUUUAUAAUAUUUAGCACAUAAAAAUAUAAGAUGUCCAGUUAAAUUUGAAUUUCAGAUAAAUGAAUUUUUUUUGUUAUUAUAAGUAUAUCCCAUGGAAUAUUUGGUAUGUACUUAAAGUACUUGAUUUUAUUUUUUAAAUUUUUAAGUGAUUUGUACUUUUUCCAUUAUAGUUGGUUUACAGUGUUCUGUCCAUUUCUACUGUACAGUGACCCAGUCACCCAUAUACAGACAUUCUUUUUCUCACAUUCUCCUCCAUCAUGUUCCAUCGUAAGUGACUGGAUAUAGUUCCCUGUGCUCUACAGCAGGAUCUUACUGCUUACCACUCCAAAUGCAAUAGUUUGCAUCUAUUAUCCCUAGACUCCCAGUCCAUCCCACUCCUUCCCCCUCCCCCUUGGCAAGCACAAGUCUGUUCUCCAUGAGUUUCUUUUCUGUGGAAAGGUCCAUUUGUGUCAUAUAUUAGAUUCCAGAUGUAAGUGAUAUCAUAUGGUAUCUGUCUUUCUGACUUACUUUGCUUAGUCUGAGAGUCUCUAGUUCCAUCCAUGUUGCUGCAAAUGGCAUUACUUGAAUUUAGAGAUUCAAAUUUAACUGGACAGUUUUUAUCUUACAACCCUACCCUGUGGUAGCACAAGGGAGAGAGUUUCAUGGGGCGUGUAGAAGUGAACUGGGCUGUAGAAGUGAAUUGGCAUCCCGACUCUGUAGUCCAAGGCACAGAUAUUUUGAAAAAUCCUCCUAGGCCAGUGCUUCUCAAACUUUAAUAUGCACAUAAAUCACCUGGGGAUUUUUGUUAAAAUGCAGAUUUUGAUUUGGAAGUUUUAGGGUAGAACUUGAAAUCCUGCUUUUCUAAUAAGCUCCCUGAUGAUGUGCAUGACAGCCCAUGGACUACACUUUGAAGAAGCUUGGUCUAUAAAGUCCAGAAGGAAAAUGCUUUUGCUUUGGUAGACCAUAGGGUCUCUGUUGCACCUACUCAAUUCUGGCAUUGUAUCAGAAAAGCAGCCAUAGAUAGUAUGUAAACACAGGAGUGUGGCUGUGUUCCAAUAAAAUUUUAUUUACAAAAUUAGAUGGUGCACAGGAUUUGGCCAAGCAGGCUGUAAUUUGCUGACCCCUAAGCAUAAUGUUUUUGAUAUGCUCCCGUCUCUAAUGAGAAUCCUUAGUGAGAGGAAGGGAAGACUUGAAUCCCUUGAACUGGAAGACUAUAAUUUCAGGGGUGCAGAAGGGAUUGCCCUAAAUCCCUCACCCUCAAGUACAAAUCUCUCUCUGCUCAUAAUUACUUCAAGUCUUCAGCUAAUAUUUGGUUCUCUAUUGAAAUGCAAAUUGCCUGAACCAGGAAUCCUUUUAAGCUGAUAAACAGCCUUUAUAUCCCAGAAUGUAUUUAGGAUCCCUCUCGAAGGAGAAUAGAAGAGGACCUUGGAACAGAAAAAUUGAGACUGUAACUCAUUCAUACUUUUGUCUAAGGUAAGACAGGUGGUCCUUACCUUGCUCUCUACCUUUAAGAUGUGCUUACCAAAGUUUAUGAUGAAAAUAUUCACCUUACUGCAGAGUACUCAGGUGUGUGAAAGAGCAGUCCUUGAGCAGCCAUCCUGUUCGCCUGGGAGAGAUUUCCUUUUAGUCCUAAAACCAGCACAGUUGUAGGCAAACCAGGACAGAGAGAGGGAGGGAGGAAGUCAGUGCACUCUCAGACGAUCGGUUCCACAAUAAUAAUUUGGUGAUAAGACAACAUAACCCUUGUGAACUCAAAGACAAUUAAGAGUCUCAAAGGAGGAGUUCCCGUCAUGGCGCAGUGGAAACAAAUCCGACUGGUUACAGGUUCAAUCCAUGGCCUCACGCAGUGAGUUAAGGAUCCGGUGUUGCUGUGAGCUGUGGUGUAGGUCGCAGACAUGGCUCAGAUCCUGGGUUGCUACGGUGUGGUGUAAGCCAGCAGCUGUAGCUCCGAUUCGACC
ensembl:lncRNA